rnacentral:tRNA from 5 species
GAGCGCGUAGCUCAGUCGGUAGAGCAUCUGACUUUUAAUCAGAGGGUCCUGGGUUCGAGUCCCAGCGCGCUCACCA